rnacentral:rRNA from 1 species
UACGUAGGAUGCAAGCGUUGUCCGGAUUUACUGGGCGUAAAGCGCGCGCAGGCGGCACUCUAAGUACGCUGUGAAAUAUCCCGGCUCAACCGGGAGGGUGCAGUGUAGACUAGGGAGCUAGAGGUCGGUAGAGGGGGGUGGAAUUGCUGGUGUAGCGGUGAAAUGCGUAGAGAUCAGCAGGAACACCCGUGGCGAAGGCGGCCUGCUGGGCAGUUGCUGACACUGAGGCGCGACAGCGUGGGGAGCAAACAGG